rnacentral:siRNA from 1 species
CCGCAAGUAAGUUGUCAACGCUUG